rnacentral:ribozyme from 15 species
UAGCAACAAAGAGGAAUCCAAUUCUUGCUAUGAAAUGGAAUAUUCGUCGCAUCAUAAUAUAUCGAUCUUCUUUUCUAUUUUUUAGUUGUUUCCUUCUUUUCUAUUUU